rnacentral:rRNA from 1 species
AACGAACGCUGGCGGCAUGCCUAACACAUGCAAGUCGAACGAAGCCUUCGGGCUUAGUGGCGCACGGGUGCGUAACGCGUGGGAAUCUGCCUUUUGCUUCGGAAUAACAGUUAGAAAUGACUGCUAAUACCGGAUGAUGUCCCCCUGAGAGAUCUUGGGGACCAAAGAUUUAUCGGCAAGAGAUGAGCCCGCGUAGGAUUAGGUAGUUGGUGGGGUAAAGGCCUACCAAGCCGACGAUCCCUAGCUGGUCUGAGAGGAUGAUCAGCCACACUGGGACUGAGACACGGCCCAGACUCCUACGGGAGGCAGCAGUGGGGAAUAUUGGACAAUGGACGCAAGUCUGAUCCAGCAAUGCCGCGUGAGUGAUGAAGGCCUUAGGGUUGUAAAGCCCUUUUACCAGGGAUGAUAAUGACAGUACCUGGAGAAUAAGCUCCGGCUAACUCCGUGCCAGCAGCCGCCGUAACAC